UACGUAGGCAGCAAGCGUUGUUCGGAGUUACUGGGCGUAAAGGGUGCGUAGGCGGUUGUUUAAGUUUGGUGUGAAAUCUCCCGGCUCAACUGGGAGGGUGCGCCGAAUACUGAAUGACUAGAGUGCGGGAGAGGAGAGUGGAAUUCCUGGUGUAGCGGUGAAAUGCGUAGAUAUCAGGAGGAACACCGGUGGUGUAGACGGCUCUCUGGACCGUAACUGACGCUGAGGCACGAAAGCGUGGGGAGCGAACAGG
rnacentral:rRNA from 1 species